AUUGAACGCUGGCGGAAUGCUUUACACAUGCAAGUCGAACGGCAGCACGGACUUCGGUCUGGUGGCGAGUGGCGAACGGGUGAGUAAUGUAUCGGAACGUGCCCAGUCGUGGGGGAUAACGUAGUGAAAAUUACGCUAAUACCGCAUACGAUCUAUGGAUGAAAGAGGGGAUCGCAAGACCUCGCGCGAUUGGAGCGGGCGAUAUCAGAUUAGGUAGUUGGUGGGGUAAAGGCCCACCAAGCCAACGAUCUGUAGCUGGUCUGAGAGGACGACCAGCCACACUGGAACUGAGACACGGUCCAGACUCCUACGGGAGGCAGCAGUGGGGAAUUUUGGACAAUGGGCGAAAGCCUGAUCCAGCCAUUCCGCGUGCAGGAUGAAGGCCCUCGGGUUGUAAACUGCUUUUGUACAGAACGAAAAGGUUUCUACUAAUACUAGGAGCUCAUGACGGUACUGUAAGAAUAAGCACCGGCUAACUACGUGCCAGCCGCCGCAGUAA
rnacentral:rRNA from 1 species